GCUAACAUAAAAUAAUGCGUUGAAGGUGCAUUGAAGAGCUUGACUCUUUCUUGGCA
rnacentral:tRNA from 1 species